rnacentral:rRNA from 1 species
AGCAGUCGCCGCGGGAAUACCGAGGAUCCAAGCGUUAUCCGGAAUCAUUGGGUUUAAAGGGUCCGUAGGCGGUCUUGUAAGUCAGUGGUGAAAGCCCAUCGCUCAACGGUGGAACGGCCAUUGAUACUGCAGGACUUGAAUUAUUGGGAAGUAACUAGAAUAUGUAGUGUAGCGGUGAAAUGCUUAGAGAUUACAUGGAAUACCAAUUGCGAAGGCAGGUUACUACCAAUUGAUUGACGCUGAUGGACGAAAGCGUGGGUAGCGAACAGGAUUAGAUACCCGGGUAGUCCCUGUCUCUUAUAC